UUUCCGUAGGUGAACCUGCGGAGGGAUCAUUACAGAGUUCUCGCCCUCGCGGGUAGAUCUCCCACCCACUGUUAUCGUUACUGUGUUGCUUUGGCGGGCCGCCGGGCCCCGCUCGGCCGCCGGCUCCGGCUGGCGCGCGCCCGCCAGAGGCCCAGCAAACUCUGAAUGUUAGUGUCGUCUGAGUACUAUAUAAUAGUUAAAACUUUCAACAACGGAUCUCUUGGUUCUG
rnacentral:misc_RNA from 1 species